rnacentral:rRNA from 1 species
CCUACGGGAGACAGCAGUGGGGAAUAUUGCACAAUGGGCGAAAGCCUGAUGCAGCAACGCCGCGUGAGCGAUGAAGGCCUUCGGGUCGUAAAGCUCUGUCCUCAAGGAAGAUAAUGACGGUACUUGAGGAGGAAGCCCCGGCCAACUACGUGCCAGCAGCCGCGGUAAUACGUAGGGGGCUAGCGUUAUCCGGAAUUACUGGGCGUAAGGGGUGCGUAGGUGGUUUCUUAAGUCAGAGGUGAAAGGCUACGGCUCAACCGUAGUAAGCCUUUGAAACUGGGGAACUUGAGUGCAGGAGAGGAAAGUGGAAUUCCUAGUGUAGCGGUGAAAUGCGUAGAUAUUAGGAAGAACACCAGUUGCGAAGGCGGCUCUCUAGACUGUAACUGACACUGAGGCACGAAAGCGUGGGGAGCAAACAGGAUUAGAUACCCCAGUAGUC